CCUACGGGUGGCAGCAGUGGGGAAUAUUGGACAAUGGGGGCAACCCUGAUCCAGCCAUGCCGCGUGUGUGAAGAAGGCCCUCGGGUUGUAAAGCACUUUCAGUGAGGAAGAACGCCUUGUGGUGAAUACCCAUCAGGAAAGACAUCACUCACAGAAGAAGCACCGGCUAACUCCGUGCCAGCAGCCGCGGUAAUACGGAGGGUGCGAGCGUUAAUCGGAAUUACUGGGCGUAAAGCGCGCGUAGGUGGCUUGAUAAGCCGGUUGUGAAAGCCCCGGGCUCAACCUGGGAACGGCAUCCGGAACUGUCAAGCUAGAGUGCAGGAGAGGAAGGUAGAAUUCCCGGUGUAGCGGUGAAAUGCGUAGAGAUCGGGAGGAAUACCAGUGGCGAAGGCGGCCUUCUGGACUGACACUGACACUGAGGUGCGAAAGCGUGGGUAGCAAACAGGAUUAGAUACCCUUGUAGUC
rnacentral:rRNA from 1 species